CCUACGGGACGCAGCAGUGAGGAAUAUUGGACAAUGGGUGGAAGCCUGAUCCAGCCAUCCCGCGUGCAGGAAGACGGCCCUAUGGGUUGUAAACUGCUUUUAUCUGGGGAUAAACCUACUUACGUGUAAGUAGCAGAAGGUACCAGAAGAAUAAGCACCGGCUAACUCCGUGCCAGCAGCCGCGGUAAUACGGAGGGUGCAAGCGUUAUCCGGAUUUAUUGGGUUUAAAGGGUCCGUAGGCGGACUAGUAAGUCAGUGGUGAAAUCCGACAGCUUAACUGUCGAACUGCCAUUGAUACUGCUAGUCUUGAGUAAGGUUGAAGUGGCUGGAAUAAGUAGUGUGGCGGUGAAAUGCAUAGAUAUUACUUAGAACACCAAUUGCGAAGGCAGGUCACUAAGUCUUAACUGACGCUGAUGGACGAAAGCGUGGGGAGCAAACAGGAUUAGAUACCCUCGUAGUC
rnacentral:rRNA from 1 species